GAUCACAGAAUAAAAAGCAAUUAUCAUAGUGACUGAGGUUGCGUUUCUCCGUUCUCAGUGAAGUCUUCUCCUUCAAGAAGACGAAGAAUUAGAAGAAAGAAGGGUUUGCAGUGCAAGCAUGGAUGAAGCUGAAUUUCAACGCCUUCUCCAACUCUUCCCCGUUGUUCGUUGUCGCGAUUACUCUGCAGAAGCAGCGUCAUCCAGACAAAUUCCAUCUGGGGUAGCACAGAAUGAGGUAAAGCAAUGGCAAGAUGCAUGGGAUGAAAAGGAAAUUAACGAUUCUGAGCAGCAAGGACUUGAUCAACAUGAUUCAUUUUGGAGCAAGCUAAAGACGGAGGCUGCUAGGAAGAUGGAUGCAGAAGAAGCAGAGAGAUUUUGCAAGGCAUUCCGACAAAUCCAUAAGAAACUAGUGAAUGAAGAGUUGAGUUUAGAUGCAGCUCGAAGCUUCUUAAAAUCAUCCUAGAGUUCCAAAGAAUAUGCUUUCAACAUUUUCCUUGUGAUUCAACAAUCGGCCAUUAAGGUGGAGUUUCAAUCAUUCCGUGUGGUUCUGAUCGUGUCAGCAUCAUCGAUAAAGUCUGUUUGUUAGCAUUGAUACUGAAAUUAAUUUGUACAUUCUCAACUUACAAACCUAUAUAUUGUAACUGCAAAAACACAAAACAGAAAAGAGUUUUUCUCUUUUUAUC